rnacentral:rRNA from 1 species
AUGUUGCUAUUGUGGUGCUUAUCAAUAAUCCAAGUUUCUUCUUAUUCUCGCGAUGAAAGAAGUUAUCAUCUCUUCGUUGCUCUCAAGCAAGCAAUUGAUUCCGUUAGUGGCAGAAGUUCACCUCAAAUUGUGAGAAGUUUUUCCAUAAGCCCACUACAAGCUUUUUCAUUUCGUUGUUGGUUUUUCCAACAACUCCGUUAUAACCUUCUUGCAAGGGUGCCCUCCAAGCUCAAUCGUGGCAGAAGUUGUCAUCUUCUCCUCCAUUCUUUUAUUUCAAUGAUCUAUCUUCUAUUAUUUCUUCCGGAGGCAUUGCGAUGUUGCUCUUUUCACUCGUAA